AGAUUGAACGCUGGCGGCAUGCCUUACACAUGCAAGUCGAACGGCAGCACGGGGGCAACCCUGGUGGCGAGUGGCGAACGGGUGAGUAAUACAUCGGAACGUGUCCUGUAGUGGGGGAUAGCUCGGCGAAAGCCGGAUUAAUACCGCAUACGCUCUACGGAGGAAAGCGGGGGAUCUUCGGACCUCGCGCUAAAGGGGCGGCCGAUGGCAGAUUAGCUAGUUGGUGGGGUAAAGGCCUACCAAGGCGACGAUCUGUAGCUGGUCUGAGAGGACGACCAGCCACACUGGGACUGAGACACGGCCCAGACUCCUACGGGAGGCAGCAGUGGGGAAUUUUGGACAAUGGGGGCAACCCUGAUCCAGCAAUGCCGCGUGUGUGAAGAAGGCCUUCGGGUUGUAAGCACUUUGUCAGGGAAGAAAGGAUUCUACUAAUACUGGAGUCUGAUGACGGUACCUGAAGAAUAAGCACCGGCUAACUACGUGCCAGCAGCCGCGGUAA
rnacentral:rRNA from 1 species